GCCACUGCACUGGCUCUUCUGUGUUGGUUUCCAGAUCAUGGCGUCACAAAAGGUCAGCCCUGGAUGCGAUGCUGGAGGGCACAGGGGUCAACGCCCUCGACUCCUCCAAGAGCCGAACUGUGACGAGAAAGGUGUCUUCCAACCUCCAACCUCAGCAAACGUUGAGAACAUUCGAAACGAAAAGACACGGAAUGCUUCCCUUUGAGGACACGGAAGUUGUCUGUACCGUCAAGAAGCAUGAAGCCAACGAUCGCAGCCUCUGAGGCCCCUGAAUCCCCGACCAGGUCACACCAGACCUCAGGAGCCCCCGAGCGGCAGCAGCUGCGGGACUCGGCCGCUGUGACUGGCGACCGCCUGCUCCACAGGCUCACACCUUUGCAAAACCGUCUGGAUUGGCACCCUGGAUUUUCAUGGAACCUCACUGUGCAUUAAAGAAUAAAAACUCCUGAGACACAGACAUUCAGUAAAUGCGGCAGACACCCAGGACCCACGCAUGGACUCCUCUCCCCAUGAGUGGGCCAGACUCACUGCUGAUGAGUCAAGUAUCCCAGGAAAAACCACAGCUUCCACCUCAGACAGUCUCUCACUGCUCGCUCUGAGGAAAGCCAGAUGCCAUGUGAGGUGCCUAAGACGUGGUCCAAGUGCUCAGGAACGGAGGGCUGUCUCCAGCCGACAGCAGCCAGCGACCCAGUGGGACACCCAGUGGGACAACUCGCAAGGAACUGACUCCUGCCAACAACCAUGUGAAUAAGCCUGGAGGUCGAUCUUGCCCUAGUGAAGCCUUCAUAUGGACUGCCGACAGCUUGAAUACAACCUCCUCAGAAACCCUGAGCCAGAGGCACCCAUAGCCCAACCCUCAGAAACUGAGAAUAAAUGUACGCAUUUUUAAGCCAAGGAAUCUCUAGGUAACUUGUUAUGCAGUAGUAGUUAUCUAACAGAGCACGCAACUUUAUUCUAUUCAGUGCAGUUCAGUCGCUCAGUCAUGUCCGACUCUUUGCGACCCCAUGGACUGCAGCACGCCAGGCCUCCCUGUCCAUCACCAACUCCUUAUUAAUAGUUGUAUUAAGUUGCAUUUACUUUCAUUUAGCAUACUGUGUUUAUUCAUCAUACAAAAAUGUUAAUAAGUUAGUGAUUUAAUAUAAACCAGCAAUAAAGGAAACUACCUUUAAAUGAACCAAACCACGGACUUUUUUCAUCAGCAAGGACUAUUUCUUCCCUUUACAACAGGAGACAGUUGUACUCAAAAAAUAUUCAAUGGCUCCAAAAAAACUUCUCCGAGGAAGCAAAAUUCUCUGGCCAUUUACACCCUUGUUUCAUUUUUUUUACAAGGAAAUCAAGGAGGUCUUCCAUUGUGACUGGUAGCUGAAAAAGGCUACUUGGAAUGGGAACAUUGAAACCAAGGGCUAAAAUUUAAUAGUAAAGGAUGGGAGGUUGAUAAACUCAAUGCAGGAGAAAAAUGAUGAAAACAGCUUUGUAUAACAUUUAAUAAAAUUUGGAUUAUUGCUACAACUGUGCUAAUUAUUAAACAGAAACAAUCUGAAUGGUGACUACUGGUUGGGGGUGGCAGGGAGGGAAAUCAACUUUUCACACAAAAUUGUAAAAUGGACAAAAGAUCUCUUCGAGAUCUCGACCCUUGACUUUGGCGAUACAAUCAUAAGGAUCAUCUCUGCAAAACUACUUAAAGCUUUCAAUAAUGCUUCCAAGACUCUCCGUUGCCUUUAAUGUUUUCAUUAAACAAUUUCAUUAAACAAUUAAAACAAUUUCAAGCAAUUGCUUUCUUUAACAGCCUUGCAAUUCAUUAAUUCAUUCACCAAACACUUUUGAAUGAGUGGGGUUACCGGUAUGUGUGUGCGUAGUCGCUCAGUCGUGUCCAACUCUUGCAACCCCACAGACCGGAGCCCGCCAGGCUCCUCUGUCCAUGGGGAUUUCCCAGGCAAGAAUACUGGAGUGGGUUGCCAUUGCCUUCUCCAGGUUACUCGUGUGGUGCUACGGAAGAGCAGUGACGGCGACAAACUGGAAGUCCUCGUAUUUAGAGAGCUCGUGUUUUGACAGAAGAAAGUAACUGGUUUACACUACGUCACCUGUAAUUUACAAUAACAACAACUGGGAAAAAAUGACAAUGAUCCCCAAAAACAAAACAGUCUAGAUGGCAGUAGUACCAGUACCAAACAGUAAGUGGAAAAGGACAUUUGAGCUAAGUUUUAUAUGUGGUUGAUCCUCCAGUGAUGAUCUGGACUUUGAGUGGCCUACGCCCCUCUAUUCAACUCCCUUCACUGUACCUAAGAAUGUUAAUCAUAAAAAGCCAUGGUUUCAUGAUUUCGAGGCCAGAGGAUCUAAGCACAAAUGCAGCUGAUCACAAACAACAAUCCUCUAGCGACUGCAACACUAGAGGCGCAGACUGAAAUGGAGACUUGUCUUCCAGACAGUGCACUGCACGCCGUACUGCGGGUCAGGACACACCUUUCCACGUCUUUCACCAUUUCACGAGAACUCCUCCUCGACUGUCGUCCUAUAGAUGGACGUGAAAUCCUGUCCACAAGCCUCAUGGGGACAACUGACGCCCGCACCCUGACAAGCCCGGCUUGACACCCGCAGGCGAGUCUGACCUCCACCUGGAAGGGACUCUACCCUUCCACACAGCCCGAGAAAGA